CCUACGGGUGGCAGCAGUGAGGAAUAUUGGUCAAUGGACGAGAGUCUGAACCAGCCAAGUAGCGUGAAGGAUGACUGCCCUAUGGGUUGUAAACUUCUUUUAUAUGGGAAUAAAAUGUUCCACGUGUGGGAUUUUGUAUGUACCAUAUGAAUAAGGAUCGGCUAACUCCGUGCCGGGAGCCGCGGUAAUACGGAGGAUCCGAGCGUUAUCCGGAUUUAUUGGGUUUAAAGGGAGCGUAGGUGGAUUGUUAAGUCAGUUGUGAAAGUUUGCGGCUCAACCGUAAAAUUGCAGUUGACACUGGCAGUCUUGAGUACAGUAGAGGUGGGCGGAAUUCGUGGUGUAGCGGUGAAAUGCUUAGAUAUCACGAAGAACUCCGAUUGCGAAGGCAGUUCACUGGACUGCAACUGACACUGAGGCUCGAAAGUGUGGGUAUCAAACAGGAUUAGAUACCCUUGUAGUC
rnacentral:rRNA from 1 species